ACACAGAGACCAGAAUGAAGACCUAAAGACUUAGGGAAAAAUGUCUAUUGUUAUGCUUAGGUUUUAAGAGUUGGAGAAAGAUUAUAUUUUAUGCCAUUUCUUCACUAUGUCAGUUACAGUGUGAACAUGAAAAUGCUUGCAAUAGUCCUAUUAUUAUGAGUACUCAGGUUUAGUAAUUAAAGAUAAAUAAAAUCACACCCGGGGUUUGUAAAGCAUAAUGAAUCUCAGGGUUCCAACAUGUUUAAACAUGCAAUACACAUUCGAUUAGGGAACAU
rnacentral:lncRNA from 1 species